rnacentral:rRNA from 1 species
AUACGUAGGUGGCGAGCGUUGUCCGGAUUUACUGGGCGUAAAGGGAGCGUAGGCGGAUUUUUAAGUGAGAUGUGAAAUACUCGGGCUUAACCUGAGUGCUGCAUUUCAAACUGGAAGUCUAGAGUGCAGGAGAGGAGAAGGGAAUUCCUAGUGUAGCGGUGGAAUGCGUAGAUAUAUGGAAGAACACCAGUGGCGAAGGCGGCUCUCUGGUCUGCAACUGACGCUGAGGCUCGAAAGCAUGGGUAGC